rnacentral:tRNA from 1 species
GAGCUUUUAGGUUAAAAAAACUUAAGGCCUUCAAAGUCUUGAAUAUCGUUCUUUGUUAAAGCUUG